UACAGAGGUCUCAAGCGUUGUUCGGAUUCAUUGGGCGUAAAGGGUGCGUAGGCGGCGCGGUAAGUCGGGUGUGAAAUACGGCAGCUUAACUGUCGAGGUGCAAUUGAUACUGGUGGGCUUGAGUACUGAUGAGGUAGGCGGAAUGGACGGUGUAGCGGUGAAAUGCUUAGAGAUCGUCCAGAACACCGAUAGCGAAGGCAGCUUACUAAAGAGUAACUGACGCUGAGGCACGAAA
rnacentral:rRNA from 1 species